rnacentral:rRNA from 1 species
GUGGGGAAUCUUGCGCAAUGGGCGAAAGCCUGACGCAGCCAUGCCGCGUGAAUGAUGAAGGUCUUAGGAUUGUAAAAUUCUUUCACCGGGGACGAUAAUGACGGUACCCGGAGAAGAAGCCCCGGCUAACUUCGUGCCAGCAGCCGCGGUAAUACGAAGGGGGCUAGCGUUGCUCGGAAUUACUGGGCGUAAAGGGCGCGUAGGCGGAUCGUUAAGUCAGGGGUGAAAUCCCAGAGCUCAACUCUGGAACUGCCCUUGAUACUGGCGAUCUUGAGUGUGAGAGAGGUAUGUGGAACUCCGAGUGUAGAGGUGAAAUUCGUAGAUAUUCGGAAGAACACCAGUGGCGAAGGCGACUCACUGGCCCAAUACUGACGCUGAGGCGCGAAAGCGUGGGGAGCAAACAGGAUUAGAUACCCCGGUAGUCC